GUAGUCCACGCCCUAAACGAUGCUGACUGGACGUUGGGUGGAAUUAGCCACUUAGUGUCGAAGCUAACGCGUGAAGUCAGCCGCCUGGGGAGUACGGUCGCAAGACUGAAACUCAAAGGAAUUGACGGGGGCCCGCACAAGCGGUGGAGUAUGUGGUUUAAUUCGAUGCAACGCGAAGAACCUUACCUGGGUUUGACAUGUCUGGAAUCCUGCAGAGAUGCGGGAGUGCCGCAAGGAACCAGAACACAGGUGCUGCAUGGCUGUCGUCAGCUCGUGUCGUGAGAUGUUGGGUUAAGUCCCGCAACGAGCGCAACCCUUGCCCCUAGUUGCCAGCACGUAAAGGUGGGAACUCUAGGGGGACUGCCGGUGACAAACCGGA
rnacentral:rRNA from 1 species